GAACGCUGGCGGCGUGCCUAAUACAUGCAAGUCGAACGCUUCUUUUUCCACCGGAGCUUGCUCCACCGGAAAAAGAGGAGUGGCGAACGGGUGAGUAACACGUGGGUAACCUGCCCAUCAGAAGGGGAUAACACUUGGAAACAGGUGCUAAUACCGUAUAACAAUCAAAACCGCAUGGUUUUGAUUUGAAAGGCGCUUUCGGGUGUCGCUGAUGGAUGGACCCGCGGUGCAUUAGCUAGUUGGUGAGGUAACGGCUCACCAAGGCCACGAUGCAUAGCCGACCUGAGAGGGUGAUCGGCCACAUUGGGACUGAGACACGGCCCAAACUCCUACGGGAGGCAGCAGUAGGGAAUCUUCGGCAAUGGACGAAAGUCUGACCGAGCAACGCCGCGUGAGUGAAGAAGGUUUUCGGAUCGUAAAACUCUGUUGUUAGAGAAGAACAAGGAUGAGAGUAACUGUUCAUCCCUUGACGGUAUCUAACCAGAAAGCCACGGCUAACUACGUGCCAGCAGCCGCGGUAAUACGUAGGUGGCAAGCGUUGUCCGGAUUUAUUGGGCGUAAAGCGAGCGCAGGCGGUUUCUUAAGUCUGAUGUGAAAGCCCCCGGCUCAACCGGGGAGGGUCAUUGGAAACUGGGAGACUUGAGUGCAGAAGAGGAGAGUGGAAUUCCAUGUGUAGCGGUGAAAUGCGUAGAUAUAUGGAGGAACACCAGUGGCGAAGGCGGCUCUCUGGUCUGUAACUGACGCUGAGGCUCGAAAGCGUGGGGAGCAAACAGGAUUAGAUACCCUGGUAGUCCACGCCGUANACGAUGAGUGCUAAGUGUUGGAGGGUUUCCGCCCUUCAGUGCUGCAGCUAACGCAUUAAGCACUCCGCCUGGGGAGUACGACCGCAAGGUUGAAACUCAAAGGAA
rnacentral:rRNA from 1 species